rnacentral:rRNA from 1 species
GGGGAAUAUUGGACAAUGGGCGAAAGCCUGAUCCAGCAAUGCCGCGUGUGUGAAGAAGGUCUUCGGAUUGUAAAGCACUUUCGGCGGGGACGAUGAUGACGGUACCCGCAGAAGAAGCCCCGGCUAACUUCGUGCCAGCAGCCGCGGUAAUACGAAGGGGGCUAGCGUUGCUCGGAAUGACUGGGCGUAAAGGGCGCGUAGGCGGCGAUCACAGUCAGGCGUGAAAUUCCCGGGCUCAACCUGGGGACUGCGUUUGAGACGUGAUGGCUAGAGUUAGGAAGAGGGUCGUGGAAUUCCCAGUGUAGAGGUGAAAUUCGUAGAUAUUGGGAAGAACACCGGUGGCGAAGGCGGCGACCUGGUCCAUAACUGACGCUGAGGCGCGAAAGCGUGGGGAGCAAAC